AACUCUUCGGAGUUAGUGGCGGACGGGUGAGUAACACGUGGGAACGUGCCUUUUGGUUCGGAAUAACUCAGGGAAACUUGUGCUAAUACCGAAUGUGCCCUUCGGGGGAAAGAUUUAUCGCCAUUAGAGCGGCCCGCGUCUGAUUAGCUAGUUGGUGAGGUAACGGCUCACCAAGGCGACGAUCAGUAGCUGGUCUGAGAGGAUGACCAGCCACACUGGGACUGAGACACGGCCCAGACUCCUACGGGAGGCAGCAGUGGGGAAUCUUGCGCAAUGGGCGAAAGCCUGACGCACCCAUGCCGCGUGAAUGAUGAAGGUCUUAAGAUUGUAAAAUUCUUUCACCGGGGACGAUAAUGACGGUACCCGGAAAAGAAGCCCCGGCUAACUUCGUGCCAGCAGCCGCGGUAAUACGAAGGGGGCUAGCGUUGCUCGGAAUUACUGGGCGUAAAGGGCGCGUAGGCGGAUCGUUAAGUCAGGGGUGAAAUCCCGGGGCUCAACCUCGGAACUGCCCUUGAUACUGGCGAUCUUGAGUAUGAGAGAGGUAUGUGGAACUCCGAGUGUAGAGGUGAAAUUCGUAUAUAUUCGGAAGAACACCAGUGGCGAACGCGACAUACUGGCUCAUUACUGACGCUGAGGCGCGAAAGCGUGGGGAGCAAACAGGAUUAUAUACCCUGGUACUCCACGCCGUACACGAUGAUUGCUAGUUGUCGGGCUGCAUGCAGUUC
rnacentral:rRNA from 1 species